GAUGAACGCUGGCGGCGUGCCUAAUACAUGCAAGUCGAGCGAACAGACGAGGCGCUUGCUCCUCUGACGUUAGCGGCGGACGGGUGAGUCACACGUGGAUAACCUACCUAUAAGACUGGGAUAACUUCGGGAAACCGGAGCUAAUACCGGAUAAUAUAUUGCACCGCAUUGUUCAAUAGUGAAAGACGGUUUUGCUGUCACUUAUAGAUGGAUCCGCGCCGCAUUAGCUAGUUGGUAAGGUAACGGCUUACCAAGGCAACGAUGCGUAGCCGACCGGAGAGGGUGGUCGGCCACACGGGAGCUGAGACGCGGACCAGACUCCUACGAGAGGCAGCAGUAGGGAAUCUUCCGCAAUGGGCGAGAGCCUGACGGAGCAACGCCGCGUGAGUGAUGAAGGUCUUCGGAGCGUAAAGCUCUGUUAUUAGGGGAGAACAAAUGUGUAAGUAACUGUGCACGUCUUGACGGUACCUGGUCAGAAAGCCACGGCUAACUACGUG
rnacentral:rRNA from 1 species